UACGUAGGGCGCAAGCGUUGUCCGGAAUUAUUGGGCGUAAAGAGCUCGUAGGCGGCUUGUCACGUCGGGUGUGAAAGCCCGGGGCUUAACCCCGGGUCUGCAUUCGAUACGGGCUGGCUAGAGUGUGGUAGGGGAGAUCGGAAUUCCUGGUGUAGCGGUGAAAUGCGCAGAUAUCCGGAGGAACACCGGUGGCGAAGGCGGAUCUCUGGGCCAUUACUGACGCUGAGGAGCGAAAGCGUGGGGAGCGAACAGG
rnacentral:rRNA from 1 species